rnacentral:lncRNA from 1 species
CUGCCGUCCUGCUGAAGUUGCUCAGGAACACAGAGUCUUCAGAGACUCAGGACUGAUGAGUAAGGAUAGAAAAAUACUGGCCUGGCAAGAAAACCCCAGACUACCCUAGAAUAGAGAUGGCAGCCCUUCUGAUCGUUCCUGGGUUGUGCCACUGAGGGAGAGAGGGUGAAGACACACAGAGCCAUCAGGGUAGGGGGAGACCCUGAGGCCCCUCUGCCAGGACGAGUUAACAGCAGCAGGCAUUACCUUUCUUCCCAGGAUUUGGUUAAUGGCUGCACUUUCCUUCAGGNNNNNNNNNNNNNNNNNNNNNNNNNGUUCGAGGCCAGCCUGGUCUACAGAGUGAGUUCCAGGACAGCCAGGGCUAUACAGAGAAACCCUGUCUCGAAAAACCAAAACAAACAAACAAACAAACAAACAAAGGACCAAGGAACCUCACCAUCCUGCUUAACCUAUAGGUGACUGGUCAGCUUUUGGCCAGAAGUGGCAGUCACUAAUAUCCCUGGACUGUGACAUCAUGUUGGCAGCCCUGGCCUGAGGACUCACCUGGACAUUGAAGCGUUCAUGGCGAGGGCAGGCUGUCCCCAGGAGCUUGAUGACCACGGCAAAGGCUGAGGCUACCGUUCAGGAAUGCACAGCCUCAAGUGGACAACCUCAGUACAAGACAUAGGAGCCACACGGGCUUGCUCAGUAAGGAAUGCCAUCCGAAACAGAGCCAAAUCCUUCCAGCAAGCUACAUAGGUCGAGCACCUUCUCAGCCCAGGAUUGCUCAGGUGUUCAUGCACACCAGAAGAGGGAAUCAGAUUCCAUUAUGCAUGGUUGUGAGCCACCUUGUGGCUGCUGUGAAUUCAACUCAGAAGAGCAGCCAGCACUCUUAACUGCAGAGCCAUCUCUCCCUUAACCUGAUCAGAAACCAGCUGCAUGGGAUUGAUCGCUCAGGAGAGUAGACCCUUCCCUUCUGCUGUCAAUCACGAUGGAGUCCUGGACUUGACAAUGGCUGCCCAGGAAAUCACCCAACAUUUCAGUAGACAACUAACAACGCUAUUCAGAAU